CAAAGGGGGCUCCCAGGUGCUCCUUGCCCUGCACCUCCGUCGCUCCCUUCUUGGGCUCAUACUCCGGGCCUUUAAGCACCCUCCGGUGGGCAAACGGCCCUCAGGGACACAAGGUGAGCUGAAGGAGAGCUACUUGUGUGAGGACUGGAAAGGCACGGGUGCCAUGGAAACCGCUCUGAAAGCCAGGAAAGCUGCAGCCAUCAGGAGAGGCCGCUCGGCCGCCACUGGCCAGCUGUUUGGAUCCUCUCCCUAACAUGAUGAGGAAAGAGGAAGUGGAAGCUGCCCGUCUUCUUAAGGACUGGACCCAGAACUGGCACAGUAUCUCUUGGUGGUCUGAUGACAUCUUCAGUAC
rnacentral:lncRNA from 1 species